GACGAACGCUGGCGGCGUGCUUAACACAUGCAAGUCGAACGGUGAAGCGCCUUCCUUUUUGGUGGGUGUGGAUGAGUGGCGAACGGGUGAGUAACACGUGAGUAACCUGCCCCCUUCUUCUGGAUAACCGCAUGAAAGAGUGGCUAAUACGGGAUAUUCUGGGUCUGUCGCAUGAUGGGUCUGGGAAAGAUCUUGUUUCGGUGGGGGAUGGGCUCGCGGCCUAUCAGCUUGUUGGUGGGGUGAUGGCCUACCAAGGCGGUGACGGGUGGCCGGCCUGAGAGGGGUGACGGUCACACUGGGACUGAGACACGGCCCAGACUCCUACGGGAGGCAGCAGUGGGGAAUAUUGCACAAUGGGCGCAAGCCUGAUGCAGCGACGCCGCGUGAGGGAUGGAGGCCUUCGGGUUGUGAACCUCUUUCGCCAGUGAAGCAGGCCUGCCUCGUUUGUGGGUGGGUUGACGGUAGCUGGAUAAGAAGCGCCGGCUAACUACGUG
rnacentral:rRNA from 1 species